rnacentral:rRNA from 1 species
AUGUCUGGGACAAGUGGCGGCGGAAGUGCCGCCGCAAGCAAGUCAGAUCUGGGUGAUUUCAUGGAGCAACUUAACUUAGAGGAUGAGGAAUUUGAUGAUCUGGUGAUCGAGGAGGACGACCCUGUAAUCAAUGAAGGGGUUCGCUGGUUGGCCCUCGCUAGGGUUCACACGGAGAAAACCUUCAGUCCAACGGCGUUUUACCGAGAGAUGCGCGCAGCCUGGAACCCGGCGAAGCAGGUGAGGUUCAGACCUGUUGGACCAAAUUUGUUCGUCGUUCAGGCGGAGUGCCUGGGUGAUUGGGAGCGGAUGGUAGAGCUUGGUCCAUGGCUUUUCAGGAAUUGGGCGGUACUCAUGUGCCCGUAUGAUGGAUUCACUAAGGCAGAAGAGGUUCCCAUGCUGUUCAUGCCAGUAUGGCUCCAGAUCCAUAAGCUUCCUGAGGGUUUCUGCAGGAGGAAUAUUGUGGAAUCGUUGCUGAAAAAGUCUGGGGAUAUUUUGGAGAUGAGGUUAAACGGCAACACUCGGGGUGAUUAUGUGAGGGUUAGGGUUCGUCAUGACAUCCGCCGACCCCUCACAAAAUUCGUUAGUAUUAUCAGAGGUGAAGCAAGGCAAGUUUACUUGGUCCGGUAUGAAAAGCUUGCUCACUUUUGCAGUGUUUGUGGUCUGAUUGGGCAUGAUUGCAAAGAAUGUGGUACCGGGGUCCAUGAGGAAAAGGAUAUGAAAUUUGGGAGCUGGCUGUACGCAGAUGGUCCGAACAAGCCUAGAGCUGAUGAGUUCGAUCGGAGCAAGGACAAGCAAAGUCAGAAGCAACGUUCCCCAACCAAAGGAAAGGACGCCAAGAAGGUCAUCGAUCCGGACUUGGCUGAUACUGCGUCUAGCCCGUCGAAAAGUGGCACUAGGGUGAUGCAGGUCGACCCCCCAGCUCGUAAGAGGCUGGCCAUGGACAGCUCCGGGCUGGAGUUGCCCAACAUACCGAAUGCUACGCUAGCGCUAACUCAAGGGCUAGGUGAAGAUGGUGAUGCCCCCUCGUCACCAUGUAAUAGUUCAAACAGUAAGAAGGCAAGGAUAGACUCCCAGGGUUAUUCAGAUGAGAAAUCGGCGGCCGCCUUCGAGGAGGACCGUCGGGUACAAUGA